AUUGAACGCUGGCGGCAGGCCUAACACAUGCAAGUCGAACGAGUGGCGGACGGGUGAGUAAUGUCUGGGAAACUGCCUGAUGGAGGGGGAUAACUACUGGAAACGGUAGCUAAUACCGCAUACCAUCGGAUGUGCCCAGAUGGGAUUAGCUAGUAGGUGGGGUAAAGGCUCACCUAGGCGACGAUCCCUCGCUGGUCUGAGAGGAUGACCGCCCACCCUGGAACGGAGACACGCUCCAGACCCCGACGGGAGCCAGCAGGGGGGAAGAUUGCACAAGGGGCGCAAGCCUGAUGACGCAUUCCGGGGUGUAGAAAGAAGGCCGGCGGGUUGUAAAGUACUUUCAGCGGGGAGGCGUUACCCGAAGAAGAAGCACCGGCUAACUCCGUGCCAGCAGCCGCGGUAAUAC
rnacentral:rRNA from 1 species